GUAGGUGGCAAGCGUUGUCCGGAAUUAUUGGGCGUAAAGCGCGCGCAGGCGGUUCUUUAAGUCUGAUGUGACAGCCCACGGCUCAACCGUGGAGGGUCAUUGGAAACUGGAGAACUUGAGUACAGAAGAGGAAAGCGGAAUUCCACGUGUAGCGGUGAAAUGCGUAGAGAUGUGGAGGAACACCAGUGGCGAAGGCGGCUUUCUGGUCUGUAACUGACGCUGAGGCGCGAAAGCGUGGGGAGCAAACAGGAUUAGAUACCCUGGUAGUCCACGCCGUAAACGAUGAGUGCUAAGUGUUAGGGGGGUUUUCCGCCCCCCUUAGUGCUGCAGCUAACGCAUUAAGCACUCCGCCCUGGGAGUACGGCCGCAAGGCUG
rnacentral:rRNA from 1 species